rnacentral:lncRNA from 1 species
GUUCGUUUACGCGCCGCUUCGCCGUGCAGGUGGUGGCGAAGCGCUCCUCCGAAAGGUUUCGGAAGCUGGUGGUAGCUCUGAAGAUAACGCUGCGUUAGGGCAUACUGCGGCGGAGGAUGGAACUCCGAUUGAAAGCAGUUGCUGGAGUGGAGCACGAAUUUCAACAAGCCGCAUGUUGAAGUGUGAGGCGUGAAAGGGUAUGUCUGAUAUUUGCUUUAAAAUGCUCCAGCAAAGAAAUUAAGGGAUGGAUGAAGCAAAAGAGGUAUGGUGGCUCAUGCCUCUAAUCUCAGCACUUUGGGAGGCCGAAGCAGGCAGAUCACCUGAGGUCAGGAGUUUGAGACCAUCCUGACCAACAUGGUGAAACUCGUCUCUACUACAAACAUAAAAAAAUUAGCUGGGCGUGGUACCACGCACCUGUAAUCCCAGCUACUCCUCUGGAGGCUCAGACAGGAGAACUGCUUGAACCGGGAGGCGGAGGUUGCAGUGAGCUGAGAUCGCACCAAUCCAUUCCAGCCUGGGCAACAGAGUGAGACUCCAUCUCAUAAAAAAAAAAAAAGUAAAGAAAAAAAAGAAAAUGUCUUUAUUUCAUUUUCUUUCCUAAAGAAUAUAUUUGCUGGAUAAAGGAUUCUGUGUUGACAGUUUUGUUGCUUUUUAAAAGCACUUUAUAAAUGUUGCUCCAUGGUUUCUGAUGAGAAAUCUGCCAUCACUGAAAUCUUUGGUUCUCCUAUAUACAAAGUGUUGUUUUCUUCCAGUUGUUUUCAAAGUAUUUUCUUUACAGUUGGUUUCAUCACUUUGAUUAUGACGUGCCUGGGUGUGGUUUUCCUUUUUGGGAUUUGCUGUGCCAGCAGACCGGCUUUAAAUAGAAUGCUAUGUAAAUGUAUGUGAAUAUUUGUUUUUUGCCAGAUGUUUGGAAGUUUUUAGCUAUUAUUUCUUCAGAUAUUUUUUUCUUCCAAUUGUUCUUUCUGGGCUCCUAAGACAUGAAUAUUAGACUGUUUCAUAUUGUCCCACAGAUCCCCAAAGGUCUUCUCAUUUUUUUCACUUUUUUCUCUGUCAUUCAGACUAGAUAAUUUCUGCUCAUGUAUCUUCAAAUUUACUGACUCUUCCCUCAGUCAUCUUCAUUGUGUUGAGACCUUCCAGUAAAUUUUGUUAUUGUAUUUUCAGUUCUACAAUUUCCACUUGUUUCUUUUUAUAGCUUCUAUGCUGAGACUUUUAGCUUUCCAUUUAUUUCAACAGUGUUUCCCUUUAUAUAUUUCCUUUGGAGAAAUGUCUUCUUUGUGUAGCAUGAUUAAAAUAACUAGUUUAACGGCCAGGUGUGCUGGCUUAUGCCUGUAAUCCCAGCACUUUGGGAGGCCCAGGCAGGCAGAUCACUUGAGGUCAGGAGUUUGAGACCAGCCUGGCCAACGUGGUGAAACUCUGUCUCUAUUAAAAAUACAAAAAAUUAUCUAGGCGUGGUGGUACACACCUGUAGUCACAGCUACUCAGGAGGCUGAGACAGGAGAAUCACUUGCACCCUGGGGGUGGAGGUUGCAGUGAGCCAAGAUUGUAUCACUGCACUCUAGCCUGGGUGAUAGAGACUGUCUCAAAAAUAAAUAAAAAAAAUAAAAUAACUAGUUUUAAGUCUUUUUCUGAUAAUUCUGACAUUUGGGUAACCUUAGAGUUGGCUCUUGUUCAUUGUCUUUUCCCUAGAGAGUUGCUUAGGUUUCACAAGUUCUUUGUCCAAUCAUUUUGGGUUGUUUCUGGGAUAUAUUUGGAAUAUUAUGAUAUUCUCUAUCCUGUUUAAAUCUUCAUAAGAAUGUUUUUGUUUUGUUUUGUUUUAGCAGACCAUCAAUUCAGUUAAGUUUCAGAGCACACAUCCUGGCCACUUUUUUUGGUGGCUGUGGUUCCAAUGUUAGUUUUCACUGCCUUUGUUAAGCUGUUCUUUGCCCCAGUUGUGCACCAUCUAGUGGCCAAUCUGAAACUUGGACAGUGGCCUACACUGUAAUUCAGUGUUCAGAACCUUUGCUCAGCUGCUUCUGGUUAGUUUCACACAUACACAGCUUGUGAGAUGAUCCCAGGAUUUUAUUGACAGAUUUAAGGGUUCCUUUUCUUCAGUUCCCUCCUAUUUGUGAUCUUACCUAUACUCUGGUUUCUAGAACCCCAUUCUUGGUUUUUGGCUAGAAAGUCAGGGCGUUAGCCUCCCCAUUGCCAGUGUUCUGCCCUGCAAUGUCUGCCACUAGUGCACCAGGGGGAAGAGAAGAGUGAUACCUCUUUACUGCUGCGGGAUUGAUGUAGAGCAAGGAAAGUCCAGAAGGUUCCAAGUCAUUACCCAUGGUUCUCCUGGUGGGGCGGUGGGUCUUACUGCAUCUUUCCUGAGGCUCUCUUAGAAUACUGCAAUUAAAUUAAAAAGGGUUUUGUCCCAUAGCCUCCAACCUCCUUUCUGGUCCUCUGACUAGAAACAGCAAAUUGUUCCUUGGACUAUUUUUCUCUCUGUCAGCUAGCAUUUCCAGUUUUCCUGUUAAAUGUCUUUUUUCUUUUUCCUUUUUUUUGAGACAAGGUUUUGCUCUGUUGCACGAUCACAGCUCACUGGAGCCUUAACCUCCUGGGCUCAAGUGAUCCUCCCACCUCAGCCCCCGUGAAGCUGGGACCACAAGUAUGAGCCACCACACCUGGCAAAAUUUUUUUAAUUUUGCAGAGACAGUGUCUCCCUGUGUUGCUCACUCUGGUCUCAACCUGAGCUCGAGUGAUCCUCCUGCCUUGGCCUCCCAAAGUGCUCGAUUACAGGUGUGAGCCACUGCACCUGGCCUUAUUAUGUGUCUAUGUGUGGAUUUUCUAGUUUAUUCUGUUUGGGAUUUGUCUGGCUUCUAGAAUGUGUGGGGUCAUGUCUUUCAUCAGUUUUUAAAAUUCUGCAUUCUAUCUAAGUAUUUGCUCUGUCCUAUUCUUGCCUCUCCUCUCACAGCUAAUGAAGCACUUAGGAUUUUUCACUGUAUUCUCUACAGGUCUUCUGUUUUUUUUUCCAGCUGUUUCUCCCAUGGUGCACUGUGAAUAGUUUCUCCUGAGUUAUCUUCCAGUUUAUAAACUACCCCAAUUGGCUACAUUCUAUUACAUCUAUUUACUGAGUUUUAAAGUGCAGUUUUUAUGUAUAUUCUUGUAAUGUUUAUAUUCAGUUCUUUUCCAGAUUAGCUCCACAACUUUUUAUCGUAUAGUUUCCCAUUUCCUGCAAGUACAUUCACACACCUUAUUUCCUUAAACAAAGAAAACAAAUCUAAUACCUAUAUCUGUGAGUUUGUUUUCAUUGCUUCAAGUAAUUCUUGCCUCUGGAAUCUAGUUUCCUUAUAUGACUACUUUUUACUAUGUGUUACUAGACAUAUUUGAAAAGUAAUUUGAGGCCUACAAUGAAAUUACUUUUCCAUGAAAAGUAUUUACAUUUUAUUUUCUCUGUCACCUGGAGGCAUUACUAGUGUGGGAACACCUUAAAGGAAGCUCAGUGCUUAAGAUUCUUUAGAUCACUGGGGCAAUUCUAAACUUGCCUGUUCUUUUACAUUGGUUCUUCCACCUCUGAUUCAUUAUCAUCCUAAAGGUGAAAGUAUUUGGGAGUCUCAGCCUAUUGUGUGGAGGGUCUCCUGUUAGGUUCAUCACCUUAUAUGGGCCCUGAACUUUAAUUUCUGUCCCCCUCACUCAUAAGGUUGUCAGAGUAAGGGUACAUGCUUGCUUCUCUUAUUCUCUUUACUUUUGGACUUGGCAUUCCUUAUUGUCUGGAAAAUCUCUUUGAUGUUUUAAGAUUAUUCUUGUAUUUUAAUCAGGAAUUGUUUUCAACAGGAACAUGAUGUAAAUAUCCUAGCAUGCAAUUUUCAGAAACAAGUAGUUUCCCACAAUUGAAUCUUUGCUCCUACAGGGCCAAAUCCUACUCUUUCUCUUGGCAUGCUCUGCACUUAAGCGCAUACUACUUGUGGCAUGGAAUCCAUAAAUGUUGAUAAAGAACUACGCCUAAUUCUGUCAGAACAAUUAAUCAUUUUUAGAAAUUUUUGCUUAGAAACCUGGUAAAGUGCUCUGCAUGUAGCAAGUAUACGAACACACAAAGUUUGUUGAAUAGCUGCAUAAAACAAAUGGGCUAGAUUUUACUUCAUAUUUCAAAAUUCAGAGAAAGAGAGUAGUAUUAAAAGACAUAAGCCAAAAAUAGAUCAUUGCAGACUGAGUACAAAGAACCAUUCUAUUUCUUCUCUUAAAAAAUUAAAAUUUCAAAUUAAGUACCAAUGACCAAAUAAGUAACAAACACAUUCAGAAACAUACUAUAUGUCUACAAAGAAUACUUCAAAAUGUGCCUCCAAACUUCAGGCACAUAAUUCCAAUUUUUAUUGAAUAUAGAGAUUUUAUGAAAACAAAUCCAAAGCUGUCCCAUCAUGGAACAGCCCUCUACCAUUUGGUUAUUUUAAGACUGUUCAAUUACUUACAUGGCAGAAUACAUACACUAUAUUUAGAAAACAUAAAUUGGGUUUGAUAUGCAAUUGUUUUCAUCUUACACCAUUUCAAUAAAUUUCACAAAUUAUAACAGGUUGCCAUUUUAUUGAAUAUCUGCGACACUUUACAUUGUUCAGGAAGUAGCUACUUCCAGAAGGCUGAUAUUCUCCUCCAAAUUGUCUUUGGCUAAGUACUACAGAUGUGAUUCAGUCCAAACUAUAUGCCCAAACUGAUUAAAAUUCUCAGUCUCUCCUAGCUUGAGACCUCAGAUCCUGAGUUAUAACUUUGACUUGAUCUUCAAGUUGAGAUGCUUCAUAAAUAUUUUUCUUAAAACAGGGCUAUUUAACAUAAUUUCUUUUUCUUGAAAUAUAUGAGUGUUUUUGAUACAAAAACAUAUAUUACACAUGAGAAUGUUUAAAGCAUCAAAAUAAUGAUUAAAUUUUUUACAUAACUUAAAUGACAGGACUACAAUAUGCCCCCCACUUUUUUGCUGUUUGAAGUAAAGAGGAAAGCUCUGUAACAAUUUCAAAUACAUAGGAUUUAACUUAUGUUAAUAUCCUGUUAUAAAAAAUAACUACCAUAUAAAGAAUUUAAAAUAUGCAAAAGUAAUUAGUUCAUUUAAAUUUAUACUUAUACACUGGUGUCAAUGAAAAUAUGCGAAGUUGCCAAGAAAUUUCUAAGGAUUAAAGUGGAAGUAAAAAAACCUGUUUCAGGCUUCAUUUAUUGCUACAUAAUGACUACUUCAAGGGUCAUCUGGCCCGUCGUCAGUCACUCUUAGAAGUGGUAAAUACAGUGGUAUAGUUUGGAAGGAAAGGAGGAAAAAAAUAAUGCAUUGUGAUACAAAAAUAUUACCUACAUAUAAAUUAUUAAAGAUUUAUAAAACAUUCAGAAUAUGUUCUUGCUAUAAAAACAAUAUACUUAAAUAUAGAAGCAAAAAGUCCUGAAGCACCCGCAAUUAUUUUAAUAUCCAUUUAAUCAGGGAAAACUAUAUAUGUGGAUAUAUAAUACAUACAUAUGUAAUAAUUUGAGAAGAAAAAAGGCAAAAUUCUGAUUAUAAUCCAAAAAGAGUUUAUCUAAUUAUGGAGGUAGGUCUCCACUCCAAUUAUACAAAUAAGUUAUCAGUUUUAUUCAAAGAAUUAUAAGUCUAAGACCUCAAAACUGGUUUUUGUGCCACUGAAAUACAAUUUGACAGACUUUAGAAACCAGUAUUCUAACUGGCAUAUACACAAAGCAGAUAUUUCCUUCAUAAGGUUACAUCUGAAAAGAGCCUUCAUUAAAAUCAUUAUUGGCAUAAAGAGGUAUACCUAAGUGCAGAUACUUUGGCUUAGCAUUUAAAUAACACAGUAAAUGCUAUAAAUUUCUUAAAAGAAAUCCUUGUCUUUUUAGUACUUAAAUUAAUUGUAAAGCUACAGAAAGUAUGGAUCUCUUAAAUUUUUAGAUAUUUAAAUAUUGUGCUAAUGAUUUGAAAAGAUCAUUCCUGCCUAAAGAGCAAAGCUUAUGUGUUUCAAAAAUCAGACAUAUUUAUACUUUUAGUGUUUGUGGCAUUUCAGCUUUAGUGCUGGAGUUAGUUUUAACAAAUUAGGUUGCAAUAUGUAAUAUGGCACAUUCUUUCACUAAAAAAGAUGUUCUAUAAUGAAAAACACUAAUUCUAUUUCUAAUGGUAAACUAGAGUUGGAGGUCCCACCAUGGAUCACAGGUAUCAGAGCACUAUCAAGAUCAUUUAGAUAAUGCUGAGGCAGAAGUUGGCCUUCAGAUCCUGCCUGAAAUUCAACCUAGAAAAAAAAAAAAUUCUUGAUAAGAAAAUGAGCAAUCUUGUUUAACUCGGAAUGUGAAUAUAAAAUAAGUGAAAUAUUUUAAAAUACAGUUCAAGCAUGUUAAAUAAAAUAUUUGAUAUAUUUAUAAAAAAA